rnacentral:rRNA from 1 species
UGGGGAAUAUUGCACAAUGGGGAAACCCUGAUGCAGCAACGCCGCGUGAGUGAAGAAGGUCUUCGGAUCGUAAAGCUCUGUUGUAUGGGACGAUAAUGACGGUACCAUACAAGGUAGCCACGGCUAACUACGUGCCAGCAGCCGCGGUAAUACGUAGGUGGCAAGCGUUGUCCGGAAUUACUGGGUGUAAAGGAUGCGUAGGCGGAUAUGUAAGUCAGAUGUGAAACCCCCGGGCUUAACCCGGGGCAUGCAUUUGAGACUGCAUAUCUAGAGUGCAGGAGAGGAAAGCGGAAUUCCUAGUGUAGCGGUGAAAUGCGUAGAUAUUAGGAAGAACACCAGUGGCGAAGGCGGCUUUCUGGACUGUAACUGACGCUGAUGCAUGAAAGCGUGGGGAGCAAACAG